AAAGAUUUGCUAAAACAUGAAUUAAAAAAACUGAACUGAUUCAACAAUACCUGACUGUACUGUGACCUAGGGUUGGCCAGAGCAAAGGCUAGAAGUGGCCAAUUUGAUUGGAAAAAGUAUGAGAAUUCAAAUUAGAGAUUGAGGAUUCUAAUGGACACAAAAGAUUUGCCAAAACAUAAAUAAACAAAACUGAACCGAUUAUACAAUACCUAUCUGUACCUGCCUUCUAGGAAUUUUUUAUUUCUUCACAUGUCCGAGCCG
rnacentral:lncRNA from 1 species